rnacentral:rRNA from 1 species
AUGAACUUGGAGCUUGCUCUGGGGGAUUAGUGGCGAACGGGUGAGUAACACGUGAGUAACCUGCCCUGGACUCUGGGAUAACUUCGAGAAAUCGGAGCUAAUACCGGAUAGGACCUUGCACCGCAUGGUGUGGGGUGGAAAGUUUUUCGGUUUGGGAUGGACUCGCGGCCUAUCAGCUUGUUGGUGAGGUAAUGGCUCACCAAGGCGUCGACGGGUAGCCGGCCUGAGAGGGUGACCGGCCACACUGGGACUGAGACACGGCCCAGACUCCUACGGGAGGCAGCAGUGGGGAAUAUUGCACAAUGGGCGCAAGCCUGAUGCAGCAACGCCGCGUGCGGGAUGACGGCCUUCGGGUUGUAAACCGCUUUUAGUAGGGAAGAAGCCUUCGGGUGACGGUACCUGCAGAAAAAGGACCGGCUAACUACGUGCCAGCAGCCGCGGUAAUACGUAGGGUCCGAGCGUUGUCCGGAAUUAUUGGGCGUAAAGAGCUCGUAGGCGGUUUGUCGCGUCUGCUG